AGAAAGUUGGAUGGGGCAUUUGGUCGAAUAGAUUAUGGUCCGACACAUGCUUGAACAGGGAAGGCUGAACUUCAGUUCCAACUACAAUCAAAACAAUGCAUAAACAUUACCUGAUUUAUAGAGGUUGACGAAGCUGCGAUAGACAGUCGUUGGUG